GAUGAACGCUGGCGGCGUGCCUAAUACAUGCAAGUCGAGCGAACGGACGAGAAGCUUGCUUCUCUGAUGUUAGCGGCGGACGGGUGAGUAACACGUGGAUAACCUACCUAUAAGACUGGGAUAACUUCGGGAAACCGGAGCUAAUCCCGGAUAAUAUUUUGAACCGCAUGGUUCAAAAGUGAAAGACGGUCUUGCUGUCACUUAUAGAUGGAUCCGAGCUGCAUUAGCUAGUUGGUAAGGUAACGGCUUACCAAGGGAACGAUGCAUAGCCGACCUGGGAGGGUGAUCGGCCACACUGGAACUGAGACACGGUCCAGACUCCUACGGGAGGCAGCAGUAGGGAAUCUUCCGCAAUGGGCGAAAGCCUGACGGAGCAACGCCGCGUGAGUGAUGAAGGUCUUCGGAUCGUAAAACUCUGUUAUUAGGGAAGAACAUAUGUGUAAGUAACUGUGCACAUCUUGACGGUACCUAAUCAGAAAGCCACGGCUAACUACGUG
rnacentral:rRNA from 1 species